rnacentral:snRNA from 1 species
GGAUCUGAGGGCAAUCUGGUUAUGGCAUCUGUCAUCCUAUUCAAUCACCAGGGCUGAUUUAGCUGAUUCUGACUGGCUAAGUGGUUGCUCCCUUUCUCCCUUUCUACUUUAUGAGUGUCCCCUCAAAGCUACUACACACUUUAAAGAGGAGAACCUUCCUCAAAUAGGGACACAUUGGUCUUUGGUUGAGGGUGUAGAAUUAGUUGGUUCUCUUGCUAGAACCUCCAAACAAACUUUCAAGAAAUUGUGCCUACAUGGUAAGAGGGAAGGAAUGGCUUUUCUAAAGACUCUAGGGUCUUUACUGUCCUUAG